rnacentral:pre_miRNA from 1 species
UCCCCGCGUUGUAUGGCUUUUUAUUCCUACGUGAUCGUAACGCACGCUGAGCCUCAUGUAGGGAGGAAAGCCAUGCAACGACGGGUG